UUUGUCUUACGGGAGGCAGCAGUGAGGAAUAUUGGUCAAUGGGCGGAAGCCUGAACCAGCCAAGUCGCGUGAGGGAAUAAGGCCCUACGGGUCGUAAACCUCUUUUGCCGGGGAGCAAGGGCCGGGACGCGUCCCGGCCCGGAGAGUACCCGGAGAAAAAGCAUCGGCUAACUCCGUGCCAGCAGCCGCGGUAAUACGGAGGAUGCGAGCGUUAUCCGGAUUUAUUGGGGUUAAAAGGUGCGUAGGCGGGCUUUUAAGUCAGC
rnacentral:rRNA from 1 species